GACGAACGCUGGCAGCGUGCCUAAUACAUGCAAGUUGAGCGCUGAAGGUUGGUACUUGUACCAACUGGAUGAGCAGCGAACGGGUGAGUAACGCGUGGGGAAUCUGCCUUUGAGCGGGGGACAACAUUUGGAGACGAAUGCUAAUACCGCAUAAAAACUUUAAACACAAGUUUUAAGUUUGAAAGAUGCAAUUGCAUCACUCAAAGAUGAUCCCGCGUUGUAUUAGCUAGUUGGUGAGGUAAAGGCUCACCAAGGCGAUGAUACAUAGCCGACCUGAGAGGGUGAUCGGCCACAUUGGGACUGAGACACGGCCCAAACUCCUACGGGAGGCAGCAGUAGGGAAUCUUCGGCAAUGGACGAAAGUCUGACCGAGCAACGCCGCGUGAGUGAAGAAGGUUUUCGGAUCGUAAAACUCUGUUGGUAGAGAAGAACGUUGGUGAGAGUGGAAAGCUCAUCAAGUGACGGUAACUACCCAGAAAGGGACGGCUAACUACGUG
rnacentral:rRNA from 1 species